GUCACCACAGUGUGACCUCAGCACGGACCCCGAGCCACACUGCGCUGAUCCCGCAGGCGGCAGAGCUGGUAAGGAAUGUAAGGGGACCAGCCACCUCUGAGGAGCAGCGGGGUCCCUCCUCACAGGGUGCUGGCUCCGCAAGCGUCCGCCGUUCUUCUCCGAGCCCUGCGCGUUGGAAGACUCGCCCUGCUGUGCGCCCGGGUUUUGCAAUCCAGCCCUGGCGCUCGCUCGUGCUCAGCUGGGUCUGUGUCUGCCCCAGCUCAGUCCCCACUAGUUUCUGGGCAUGGGAGAAGACACCUCCCAGAGGGUAUGAGGACUGUCUUUACUCAGAGGAGACACACCCUUCCUCGGGCCCAGCACCAUCUAGUAAGAAGGAGGAGGAUAUCUGAAAGGCGUGUCUGGCAUGAUGGGCUGGUGCAGCCAGGACAGCUCUUUCCUGAAGCCCCCACCAGACCACCAGCUGGGCUCCCUCCUACAAGAGGGGCAGCAACACUCAGGGAAGAGCUGCCCAUCUGAUGCCUGAUGAGCACAGGACCCUGGAGUCCGACCAUCAGCUCCCUGACUCCGGAAGUUAGAAACAGCUGUCAUUCAGAUGACAAAUACAAGCUGCCGGCCUUUGAGAUAGCAGAACUCUCCUCAUUUGGGGUUCAUCUGAUAUUUCCUCAAGUGUAGAUUAAGUUUUUGUGUUCCAGCCCUGAAUACAAUGUAGGUGAUGUUGUAUCAUUGUCUGGCUACCAAAAUCAGAGGCAAGGAUGUCCGUCUGCCCUUCACUGGUGAUAUUCGUUUGUAUUACCUGGUCAAAGUGUUGCCCAGUAUCUCCACUAUAUCAUUGGUACUUUCUCCUCUGCAAGUAAGAAGCAAUCAAUGUGGAGACACUUUAACAUCAUGAAAACAUCGUGCUCUUCAUUAAAAU
rnacentral:lncRNA from 1 species